rnacentral:rRNA from 1 species
CAUGAAGCUGGAUUCGCUAGUAAUCGCGCAUCAGCCACGGCGCGGUGAAUACGUUCCCGGGCCUUGUACACACCGCCCGUCAAGCCAUGGAAGCCGGGAGUGCCUGAAGUACGCGACCGCAAGGAGCGUCCUAAGGUAAAACCGGUGACUGGGGCUAAGUCGUAACAAGGUAAC